UGGAGAGUGGUCCUUCCUGAGUGAUUAUGGUGUGCCUCUUUGUCUCCUCACACUUGCAGCCCUCACUGUUCUGUGCUUUAUAUAACCUGAUGCUGCCAAGGCUAUUUGAAGUAUUUUUGCUUCAGGCCCCUUGCAGCAGUAGAUGAAAAAUUCAUUUCAGGCUCUUGCAAAACCAAAUUCCAGCAAAGAUUUUUCUACCCAAGAGGUGGCAGUUGUCCCAAUGUGCACCAACCACAGAGUGCGUUCUCUGUACAAAGAGUGAGCAUUUCCAAGCAGAUUGAAGCUAACUUUCAGUAGACUGAAGCUUUCUGACUGGAAUGCAUGGGUUUGUCUUCAUUCAGUAAGUUUUAGAUUCCAGAACAAUCUCAACUUAAAUAUAUCGGGGACAGAACUACACAAUCUCCCAUCCCUGCUGCAGAUGGCUAUUGAUAGAAAGAAGUCAAUGCCAUCACCUAGUGUGGAAGCACCUUGUGAGAAGCAUCUUGUUCCCUUUCUGGUACUCCUGGAAGUCAAUUCAAUGAUGCAAGCAAAAUAAAGAGCAGAGAGGCUCAAACUUUCAUCUCCAUGCUCUUAUGUCUGAAUUUUUCAUCAUGCUUUAUUCUAAGAUUAAUGUGAUACCCAUUCCAUUGUAU
rnacentral:lncRNA from 1 species